GUCUUCACCUACUGAUGAAGCGUUGUUGCCCUUUCCUCCUGCUCAGUACGAGAGGAACCGCAGAUUCAGACAUUUGGUUCAUGUGCUUGGCUGAUAAGCCAAUGGUGCGAAGCUACCAUCUGAGGGAUUAUGACUGAACGCCUCUAAGUCAGAAUCCCGCCUGGAAAGCGACGAUGCAUUCGUGCCUCGGCCUCGAGAGGCGUAGCUAGACGGCCGCGUGGCCGUGGAAAGAGCCCGAUUCCGACCCGAGAGGCCGCGGCAAGAGGCGGCCUCGAAGUCGGUGGAUCCUCCUGCUCGAAAGGCGGGGUGCUAAACCAUUCGCAGACGACCUAGUUGAAGAUCGGGGUGUCGUGAUCACUAGAGCAGUACAUCUCACUGCGAUUUGUUGAGAGUAAGCCUCAAGAUCUGUCGGUUUGU
rnacentral:ncRNA from 1 species